GACGAACGCUGGCGGCGUGCUUAACACAUGCAAGUCGAACGGAAAGGCCCUGCUUUUGUGGGGUGCUCGAGUGGCGAACGGGUGAGUAACACGUGAGUAACCUGCCCUUGACUUUGGGAUAACUUCAGGAAACUGGGGCUAAUACCGGAUAGGAGCUCCUGCUGCAUGGUGGGGGUUGGAAAGUUUCGGCGGUUGGGGAUGGACUCGCGGCUUAUCAGCUUGUUUGUGUGGUAGUGGCUUACCAAGGCUUUGACGGGUAGCCGGCCUGAGAGGGUGGCCGGCGACAUUGGGACUGAGAGACGGCCCAGACUCCUACGGGAGGCAGCAGUGGGGAAUAUGGCACAAUGGGCGGAAGCCUGAUGCAGCAACGCCGCGUGCGGGAUGACGUCCUUCGGGUUGUAAACCGCUUUCGCCUGUGACGAAGCGUGAGUGACGGUAAUGGGUAAAGAAGCACCGGCUAACUACGUG
rnacentral:rRNA from 1 species